rnacentral:rRNA from 1 species
UACGAAGGGGGCUAGCGUUGUUCGGAAUUACUGGGCGUAAAGCGUGCGCAGGCGGCUUCUCAAGUCAGGGGUGAAAGCCCAGAGCUCAACUCUGGAACUGCCUUUGAGACUGAGAGGCUUGAGUACGGGAGAGGUGAGUGGAAUUCCCAGUGUAGAGGUGAAAUUCGUAGAUAUUGGGAAGAACACCGGUGGCGAAGGCGGCUCACUGGCCCGGUAACUGACGCUCAUGCACGACAGCGUGGGGAUCAAACAGG